AAAGAGAUGGAGAGAGGGUGGCUGAAGCUAAAGCAGUGUCACGAGGGAGAGGGUGGGGGAAGCUAAAGCACUGUCACGAGGGAUGGUGGGGGAUGGAUGGGUGAGGGGCCUCCCUAGCAACCACCACACCAUGCAUGACUCGUGUUGGAGAGAGAGAUCUCCUCCCUCUCCCACCCUCCCAUUAAAUUAUAUGAUGAUUACAAACUGAGAACGCACCCACCAUUCUUCUCUGAUCCCCUCUCUGCCCGUUUGUUAACCAAUUUGAUAGACCUGUCAAUCGCUUCCUUUAGAUCGUCUGCUUAAAUUUGCUUUGUUGGUGUGAGAGGUUGAAGCUGCCAGCAUGAUCUGGUCAUCGAACGCCUGUCAGAAGAUACGGUGAAAAUCUCUCAUAUCACAGUUUAGUACAGGUAGAAAUAUAGAUAGAAAGAAUAAGUAGGUAUGAUACUUCUUGUUCUUUUUUCUUUAUAGGAUUUUUUGUGGGGUUUGACGAUGAAUGGGUCGCUAUAUACAUGUUUUAGAGCUUCUUUGGCAUGUAAUUUUAUAGAUAAGAAGAAAUACAAAUAGAUCAAUAGAUAUUGAUACUAGAUAGACCCUAAAAAUAUAAAGAACAUUCUGAACUAUUCAUAGAUAGGUAUAUGGAUGGGUAAAUGGGGAGGAAGAGAGAGAGAGAGAGAGAGAUGGGAAUGGAUGUUUACUGUACAGGAAAGGUCGCUUCAGAUUGUAGGAAGUGUAUGGACAAAUGAGUCUGACUUGGAGUAUCUUGAAAUUAUGGGAAGGUAGGUGAAUAGGUAAAGGCAAACCUCUCCCCACCUCCCUUCCUUCCCUCUUUCUCAGGGAUUCAGUUUGGAGAAGGGAGUAAUUUUUGUUUGUAGGAUAGAGUGCAUGGCUUGUUUGUGGACAAAAUAGAAAUCGUGGGUUUGACUCUUCAUCAGAUCAUCUUGCAGCUUCACUCACUCACUCACCAACAGAAGAUCGCAAAAUUUGUUCUCCUGAGACGCUCAUUCCACGUCUGCUUACUCUCAUCAACUGCGAAAAAAAUCAAAUUCAAAGAGGUUAUGCUGUUAUAUCUUGUUUUCAGUAAAUAUUCUCUGUCAACCAUGGAGAUUAUCUUCGUGAUCUAGUAGCAACUGUGGUAAUUAUAAUAUAGGGAGAAAGACAUGAACAGAUAUGUUUGAGGUUCUUACAGAGAUCAAGGUGAGCUCGCACUUCCGAGAAGGUGAGGGUUAUUGUUAUGCUACUUGGCAGCAUGAUGAGGUACCUUGUGCAUGGAAUUAACGCUAGGGUCAAGGUUCCCGGCUGCCGUGUUGGCGGCAGAGCCCCGACCAUCGCAUCGAUAAAAUCGGUAAACAGUGCUAUGAAUGAUUCCUUGGGCAACUUCAAGUGAACUAUGAUGAUUUCAAGCUCUUAAGAUUACUACGUUGGGAAUUGCAAGACUAUGAUAGCAACAACUCCUGAAGGAGCCUUCUGAAGAUCCAAAACUGCAACAUAUAUUAAAGGAAGGCAAUAAAGUAGCUGACCGGGCGGCGCAUCAAGCCAUAUCUUUUGGAGGUAAUUGGGUUUUGAAUAAUCGUGUAACUAGCGAGCAUAUAGAUAUUUUUACUAAUUAUGUAUGGGGGGUUUACCAUGUAAGAAUGUAAGCAUGUAGCCUUGGCCUUGUAGCCAUUUUGAGAUCAAAAAAGAAAAAAAAAAAAGAGAAAAAAAAAGGGUAAGCUUAGGACUAGAGAAUUGUGACAAAAGUCCAUGGAACUCGAAAUAUCGAUGAGAUCGAAUUUACUUUCACUUUCUUCAUUCAGCUGAAA